rnacentral:rRNA from 1 species
UGAGAAGCUUGCUUCUCUGAUGUUAGCGGCGGACGGGUGAGUAACACGUGGGUAACCUACCUAUAAGACUGGGAUAACUCCGGGAAACCGGGGCUAAUACCGGAUAAUAUUUUGAACCGCAUGGUUCAAUAGUGAAAGACGGUUUCGGCUGUCACUUAUAGAUGGACCCGCGCCGUAUUAGCUAGUUGGUAAGGUAACGGCUUACCAAGGCGACGAUACGCAGCCGACCUGAGAGGGUGAUCGGCCACACUGGAACUGAGACACGGUCCAGACUCCUACGGGAGGCAGCAGUAGGGAAUCUUCCGCGAUGGGCGAAAGCCUGACGGAGCAACGCCGCGUGAGUGAUGAAGGUCUUCGGAUUGUAAAACUCUGUUGUUAGGGAAGAACAAAUUUGUUAGUAACUGAACAAGUCUUGACGGUACCUAACCAGAAAGCCACGGCUAACUACGUGCCAGCAGCCGCGGUAAUACGUAGGUGGCAAGCGUUAUCCGGAAUUAUUGGGCGUAAAGCGCGCGUAGGCGGUUUCUUAAGUCUGAUGUGAAAGCCCACGG